rnacentral:rRNA from 1 species
AUUGAACGCUGGCGGCGGGCCUAACACAUGCAAGUCGAGCGGAUGACGGGAGCUUGCUCCUUGAUUCAGCGGCGGACGGGUGAGUAAUGCCUAGGAAUCUGCCUGGUAGUGGGGGACAACGUUUCGAAAGGAACGCUAAUACCGCAUACGCCCUACGGGAGAAAGCAGGGGACCUUCGGGCCUUGCGCUAUCAGAUGAGCCUAGGUCGGAUUAGCUAGUUGGUGGGGUAAUGGCUCACCAAGGAGACGAUCCGUAACUGGUCUGAGAGGAUGAUCAGUCACACUGGAACUGAGACACGGUCCAGGCUCCUACGGGAGGCAGCAGUGGGGAAUAUUGGACAAUGGGCGAAAGCCUGAUCCAGCCAUGCCGCGUGUGUGAAGAAGGUCUUCGGAUUGUAAAGCACUUUAAGUUGGGAGGAAGGGCAGUAAGCUAAUACCUUGCUGUUUUGACGUUACCGACAGAAUAAGCACCGGCUAACUCUGUGCCAGCCGCCGCGGUAA